ACUAACUUAUUAUUGUGUAGUUUCAUAAAAGCCUACUCUUUUCAGUCACAUAACUUUUGUUCAUCUGCUAAUAAUAGGACUAUGAUCCAUACACAAAGAUGUAUUGUGGAUUUAAAUAAUAUCCGCGAAUAUUUAUGUGAAAAUGUAUUAGUGUUCUGCUGACAUGAGAUCUGAAAAUGUGUUUUAGGACCUGAAAUGGAUUAAUCCAAUGAUCAACGUUUUCCUUUGUAUCCCUGUUUUGUAUAUGCUGCCAUUACAUGAUGGUCAUAUGUCCCGGAUGAUCGGGAGAAGUCACGUGGUUCAAUUAUUAUUAUUUUUUUACGUGGUUCAAUUAUCUGUUAAUACAUUUUUUUUUACCAUGCAUUUAGCAUCAGGCAAAGCCUGCAAUCAAUCUAUUAAGACAGAAACAAUAUCUUACUUAUUAUUAUGUUGUUAUUAUGACAAUAUCAUGUGAUCAUCUGAGUUAGAACAAAAUCUAUUCAUUUUCAGGUAUUACUGUGCAAGUGCCCUGAAUCAUUCUGUUGAAAUGUUAUGUGUUUAAGAUUCUUUAUGACAUCAAGAUGUGGUUUGGGAAGGACCUUCAUCUAAAUCUGAAGACAGGACAUACUGGCUCAAAAAGGUGUUUCUGAUAUGGAGAAAAACCCUGCACUGCUCAUUUUAUUUCUUCAUCUUGAGAAUACAGCAAGUUUACCUUUUGUCUGGAAAAUGAUUCAGCAAAGCUAACACCAACAAUAAUUUUUCAUGGCACUUUAAACCACCUUGAUGUGAGGAGCCAGCAUCAGAAUGGAUGGUGUCAAUAUCCUGAAUGAAGAAGUGGAGGUAACAGAGGUGGAUCUCAAGACUUGGCCAUGUUCUAGAUUAUAACUGGAUUAUCACAAGUGCUGUCGCCCUUGCUGUAUAUGACGCCCCCACCACCUACACCAGGUGUAGGAAAUGUCGGUCCUGGAGUGACGUUGUCCUGCAGAGUUUUGCUCCAGCUCUAAACAAACACACCUGAACAACUAGAUCUGAAGAGUCACCAGUAAACUACAGGUACCUGUAGGCGAGGUUUUAUCAGGGUUGGAAAUAAAAUCUGCAGGAUUUCGGCACUCCAGGACCGACGUUGCCUACUCCUGACCUACACCUUCAUCCUGCCACCACCACCCAUACUACCUACAAAAAACUGUAUUGUAAUAAUGCUUUUCACUGUAUUGUAUGAUGUGGUUUUCUCAUUUAGGGUAACUACACUAUGGCAACCAUUUGAUAAAUUGAUUGCUGACUGAUUUUUUUUUUUUUACUUUUUGUUUAAAAUCUAAUCAUUUUUUUGUUUUUGUUUUGUUAAUAUUGUUACAAAU